AGCCCACAUGCAAAGUGAAGACAAAACUCAUGGCAAAGGUGAAGGAAUUUGGUGUGUUUUGUGGUUGAAAUGAUGAAGCAAGUGUGUGCAAAUGCAAAGGGGAUCUAAACAUGGACAGCACAUGUCAUAUGCAAAGGAGAAACAAAGAUGACAACACACACAUGCAAAGAAGAAAACAGCAAGAAAGGCAUGUGCAAAAGAGAAACAUGGACAACCAACAAAUUCGUCAAAACUGCCUGUGCAGAUUAGCUGACUUUGGAAGCAUGCUACGAACAGCUCCGAAUGAAUGAGAGAAUGAGCCUUAUAUGCUUAGAAAGCUACGGAUGUCUAUUUUCUGGAGCAAGUUACAGAUUGUUAAUAUCAUUUUUCUAGAAGAAGUUAUGGGCAUUUUAACACUGAAAGGUUUAGAAACGGGCUAAGCAGAUUUGGCUAAUAAAAGGCACUUGUUUUGUGUUUUGCUUUGUCAUCAACACUCAGCAGCAAAUGGGGUUAUGAUUACACUCAUUUGUCUUAGGAGCAAGUGGAAAUGUACAGCUAGAAGAGAAGGCACAACACAUGCAAAGGAAAGGAGAAACAUGGGCUGAAAAUGUGGGUGUUUGGUGCUUGAAAUGAUGAAGCAUGUGUGUGUAAAUGUAAAGGAAAAUAGGGCAGAAAAUGUGUGUGUGUUGUGGUUGAAAUGAUGAAGCAUGUGUGUGUAAAUGUAAAGAGGAAACAUGCCAACACACACCCACAUAAGCUCACAUGCAAAGGAAAUGGAGUGGUCCUAUCUCAAGCUUAUAAAUACCACCUUCCAUAUUCAUCAAAGUCAUAACAGAUUUUCUCUCCAAAUUUAGCCA
rnacentral:lncRNA from 1 species